GGAAGCAGAUAAUCUAUAAAGGUGGGGGGGAGUGGGGAGGGUUGGUAGGAGAAAAAUGAAGGAGUAGGUAACCAGUUUGACAAGAAAUUUACUCACUCCCUUAUGUCUGUAACUGUAACCCCUCUGUGUAUCACAUUGACAAUAAAAUUAAAUUUAAAAA